GUCCUCAGGCCAAAGGAGCGACUCCGUUUCCAGUUUCGGAAGGGGUUUCUCCAGAAUACCAAACACCAGUACUCGUCCACCGCCGCCGCGCCGCCGAGAGGCAACGUCAACCGCUCCAUUGCCGGUGGGGAAGCCAAAGGCUU
ensembl:lncRNA novel transcript